rnacentral:rRNA from 1 species
UUUUCUGAGGAUUUGAUCCUGGUCCAGGAUGAACGCUGGCGGUGUGGAUAAGGCAUGCAAGUCGUGCGGAACUAAUUUUGAAGAAGUUGAGAUUAUAUCAAAGCGACGGAUUUAUUAGUUUAGCGGCGAACGAGUUAGUAACACCCUAGUCACGUACCCCGAAGUCAGAAAUAGUCCGCCGAAAGGCGGGGUAAUAACUGAUAGUCCCGCAAGGGUAAAGCCGCAAGGCGCUUUGGGAUCGGCUUAGGUCCGAUCAGCUAGUUGGUAAGGUAACGGCUUACCAAGGCUAUGACCGGUAGGGGAGGUGAGAGCCUGACCCCCAACGACGAGACUGAGACACGGCUCGUACUCCUACGGGAGGCAGCAGUCGAGAAUAUUCG